rnacentral:rRNA from 1 species
CGGUAAUACGGAGGGUGCAAGCGUUAAUCGGAAUUACUGGGCGUAAAGCGCACGCAGGCGGUCUGUCAAGUCGGAUGUGAAAUCCCCGGGCUCAACCUGGGAACUGCAUUCGAAACUGGCAGGCUUGAGUCUUGUAGAGGGGGGUAGAAUUCCAGGUGUAGCGGUGAAAUGCGUAGAGAUCUGGAGGAAUACCGGUGGCGAAGGCGGCCCCCUGGACAAAGACUGACGCUCAGGUGCGAAAGCGUGGGGAGCAAACAGGAUUAGAUACCCUGGUAGUCCACGCCGUAAACGAUGUCUACUUGGAGGUUGUGCCCUUGAGGCGUGGCUUCCGGAGCUAACGCGUUAAGUAGACCGCCUGGGGAGUACGGCCGCAAGGUUAAAACUCAAAUGAAUUGACGGGGGCCCGCACAAGCGGUGGAGCAUGUGGUUUAAUUCGAUGCAACGCGAAGAACCUUAC